rnacentral:tRNA from 1 species
CUGAUAUAAUGUUAUAUAGAUUAUACAAGCACAACGCCUGGAAAGCGUGUAAACGCCUAAAGCGUUUCGGGGGUUCGAAUCCCCCUCUUUCCGCGA